GCCACGGGCAGCUGAGUAGCUGCCGGGCGCCGCUGCCAAGUCUCCACUCCGCUUUUGUCUUGUCCUCCAGUGAAUGGGAAGAUGGAGAUGGAUGUUGAGGGAGUUUCUCCGCGCCCGGAGCCCAUCCCCCGCUCCCAGGGGGCUGGCGGAGCCUGCCAGGCGCCGCCACAGCCGCCCCAGCCCCAGCCGCCGCCGCAGCAGCUGGCUCAGGAUGAACUGCCCGGCGAGAGUGCAGGCGCUGAGGACAGCGACGAUCCCGAGACGAGACCCAACGGCGAGAAAGGAGAGAGCAAGAGAUGCCAUGGACUACAAGGUGAUGAAUACCACUAUGAGCUCACUACAAGAUCUCAAAGAUUUCAAGCCACUGGCUGUUCCAAAGCAUAAAGCCACCCUUCUGGAGCAGCGGCGGGAGGCAGGCUGGGAGGAGGCCCCGAGUUUUGGCCAGACGAUGGACCACCUCCUUAGGUGUCCGGGGAGCUGCUGAAACAUAAUGAGGAAGAUGCUGCUGAUCCAAAGGAUAAAAACACAGAAACUAGAACCAAGAAGCACCUAAAGUGGGCUCAUGCCCAGCAUCCCUGCAGACUGACUUUCUCUGAGCUAUAGUUCUGCAUUGGACUGUUUUUCCUUUGCUAUCACCUGCCCAACAC
rnacentral:lncRNA from 1 species